UAACACGUAUCCAACCUGCCGAUGACUCGGGGAUAGCCUUUCGAAAGAAAGAUUAAUGCCCGAUGGCAUAGUUCUUCCGCAUGGUAGAACUAUUAAAGAAUUUCGGUCAUCGAUGGGGAUGCGUUCCAUUAGGUUGUUGGCGGGGUAACGGCCCACCAAGCCUUCGAUGGAUAGGGGUUCUGAGAGGAAGGUCCCCCACAUUGGAACUGAGACACGGUCCAAACUCCUACGGGAGGCAGCAGUGAGGAAUAUUGGUCAAUGGACGAGAGUCUGAACCAGCCAAGUAGCGUGAAGGAUGACUGCCCUAUGGGUUGUAAACUUCUUUUAUACGGGAAUAAAGUGAGGCACGUGUGCCUUUUUGUAUGUACCGUAUGAAUAAGGAUCGGCUAACUCCGUGCCAGCAGCCGCGGUAAUACGGAGGGUCCGAGCGUUAUCCGGAUUUAUUGGGUUUAAAGGGAGCGUAGGCGGACGCUUAAGUCAGUUGUGAAAGUUUGCGGCUCAACCGUAAAAUUGCAGUUGAUACUGGGUGUCUUGAGUACAGUAGAGGCAGGCGGAAUUCGUGGUGUAGCGGUGAAAUGCUUAGAUAUCACGAAGAACUCCGAUUGCGAAGGCAGCCUGCUGGACUGUAACUGACGCUGAUGCUCGAAAGUGUGGGUAUCAAACAGGAUUAGAUACCCUGGUAGUCCACACAGUAAACGAUGAAUACUCGCUGU
rnacentral:rRNA from 1 species